UACGGGGGGGGCAAGCGUUGUUCGGAAUUACUGGGCGUAAAGGGCUCGUAGGCGGCCAACUAAGUCAGACGUGAAAUCCCUCGGCUUAACCGGGGAACUGCAUCUGAUACUGGAUGACUUGAGAUUGGGAGAGGGAUGCGGAAUUCCAGGUGUAGCGGUGAAAUGCGUAGAUAUCUGGAGGAACACCGGUGGCGAAGGCGGCAUCCUGGACCAACACUGACGCUGAGGAGCGAAAGCCAGGGGAGCAAACGGG
rnacentral:rRNA from 1 species